GCUGCUAAUUCUGUUCCUUCAGAGGAUCUCAGUCUUGCCUUGCACGUCAUCUCCUGGCUUCCAGCGCAGACUCUUGGGCUUGCGGCUCCGAUCCUUCAGUCUUCCAGCCUAGACUCUUCAGCCUUCCACUGCAGACCUAUCAGCUUCCUGAUACAGACUUGCAGGGGACACUGAGGAUGUCAUCUCCUGGCCUCCAGCGCAGACUCUUCAGCUUGCAGCUCCGAUCCUUCAGUCUUCUAACAUAACUCUUCAGCCUUCCAUUGCAGACCCAUCGGCCUCCUGAUACAGACUUUCAGGGAACACUUCAGUGAGGUCCAGAUCUUUGACUGAAUCCUUCCAUCUCCAGGAUGCAGACAGAUCCUCUGCACUCUUCCUCAUCUGACUCUGUGGGUGGCCACUGUAAGCCAAUCUUGUAAAUUCAUGUUUAUUUGUGUAUCUUGUGUUAUAUCUGUUUCUUUAGUUAAUACUGACUGAUAUACACCUGUUAUGAAAAAAGAAUGACAGAAAAUGGGACAGAAACUCAACUUUACUGAGAACCUGCUAUGUACUAGGCAUUGGCCUAGUUUCUUCACAUACACUAUUUUUACUGAAUCUCUAUACAUCCUCCCUGAGUGAAUGUUUUAACCCUUGCAGAUAUGGAAACUAAAGCACAGAAAAGACAAUCAACUUGGCCUGCUAUUCAGUGUUGGCAGAUUUCAAACACAGUUACACCUGACCCCAAAGCUCCUUGCCUCCCCACCCCCACGUUUCAGAAGCACUCAAUCCUAUCAAUUUUGUUACUGUCACCAUGGAGAGUAACUAACAGUGAAGAUAACUCAGGAGGGCAUAAGCAGCUCUGAGUACAUAAAUCCUUGGGAAGACAACAACAAAAUCUACCUUCAACUUUAUUAAUUACCCAGGCUGUCAAGUCUCAUGGCCAUCUGUGUCCCACAUGGAAUCAUUGAAUGCUGGAACAGGGUUGCCUACUCUGAUCUCUUCCAUCUGAUGGAACUGAGGCCGGAAAGGUGAAAUGACCUGCCCUAAGGUCCCACACCUAGAGGCAACCCUUGAAGUGGAACCACAGUGUGCUUUAGCUCCCCCUUGCUGCUCGGGAGCAUAGAGCGCUAUUUGAGAAUUUGGAACCACACUACCUGGGUUCACUGCUUGCCCCACCACUUAACAAGUGGGUUGGGCAACUUAUUUAUUCAUGCUGGGCCUUGAUUUCCUCACUUAUUAAACACAAGGUAAUGAAAGCACCACUGUUAGAUAUAAAUCACAUAAAAUACCAUCAGGAAUAUAGUGAGAGUUGUUAGCUCUGGUUACUGCCAAUGUGAUCUAAAUUACAGUCUCAGUAAUCUGCCUGUAUCUGCUCUAGAAAAUAAUUGGGGUAAUAGGAAGUGACAGAGAGGAUGGGGCAUGAACCCUAAUUUUAGUCUUAGUUUAUCUAAUCUUUGUGUUCCCUUUUUGCUUUCUCCUGACUAUUGGUAAAAGUAGGUAGAGAAAGGUUUCCAUUUCUCUUUCCAUCCUCCCAUUAUUGAAAUCUGCCCCUAGGAAAGGACUUGAUAAGCCCAUUUAGUGGUGGCUUAUUGAUUUCUUAACCUAAGUCCUCUUUUUUAAAGGUAUUGGCAGUUUUACCAAAAGUCGAAGCCUAAAGUAAAGGCUUUCUAAUGUUAGAGUUUGGGUAUCAGUCAAGAGUGGAAUAGGUUUGCCUUUGGUUUGGUUCUGAUGUUGUAGUGUUGGGGAGCAGAAAAGGGAGGAAACCCAGAUCUGUAUUAAAAUCUGGGUUCUGGGACGGGGAUUUAGCUCAGUGGUUCCGGCGCCUGCCUUGCAAGCGCAAGGUCCCGAGUUUGAUCCCCGGUACCAAAAAAAAAAAUCUGGGUUCUAUCCUCUAGGAUGGGAGUGAGCUCAUCAGGUGGACAACCCAGAAAGAAGAAAGUGUUAGACUUUCUUCAGGACUUACCGAGAAACCCCAGCUAGGGUAGAAUUGCCCUCAGGGGAACAAAGUAGUGGGGGUAGAAGACAGACUCAGUAAGACCCAAGCCUUUACUGAAGACAAAAAAAAGCAUGUAUCAUACUCAAGAAAUCAGAACAGGACAGGGUAACCAAUUCACAACUUCAGGAGUGGGUCAGAACCUGAGUACACACCCUGCUUUCACUUCGCUGUCUCUGUGCUGGAGGCAGGGACAGAUUUCAAGCAUCAAGAUGCCCAAAGCUCUCUCCACACAGGUCCACUCUUGCUGCUCUCCAGUUUGGUGCGCCAUCCAGUAAGCUGGUGGUACCAACAGAAGGAGGAAUGUCCAAUGUCACCAAGAGUUGCUUGGACUUUAGAAGAACACCAGGUCUCCAACCAGGUCAAAUCUCAGCCCAUAGGGAGUUCCCUCUUAAGUGUCCUAUGGAGAUAUAAGAAGGUAGGGGAUCUUUAGGAACCAAAGUCCAGGUAGAACAGUUCGGAGAUUAAGACUGAGGUUAGGAAUAGAGAUUGGACAUGGGAGGUGUAGCGCAGGGAAAGUAGAGGGAGCAGCAUGUACCUUCCCGAUUAGGGUAGUAUCUUGGAAUUUCAAGACUGACUGCAAGCUUGUCUGCAACAAGCACUAUAGAUAAUCUUAAUUGACUAAUGCCUUCACAUGCAUCUGCGUCUGGCUUUUCAAAUGUGUAUGGAAGCUGUAGUGUGACUAUGUGAUUAAUAUCAGCCCUAACAUACAGCUUUAUUUCACCAAUGAAAGAAUAAUAAUAAGAUACACUUAUUUUCAUAUCUACAAAAUUAUUUUGACUUCCAAAGAUUUUCUGUCUUAAAAAGCUUGGAGACAUUGGGCUACAUCUCUGCUUUUCAUCCCCUCUCAUUGCCACUGCUAUGUGCUUUAGUGACAGAUUUAUGACUGGGAUUCCUUUGCCUACCCCUUUAUCACUGGGAAGUAUCUAUUUGCUCUCCUCUGCUGAAUAUUGGAUACAAUAAAUCAAAGCUAUAUGCCAAUUAAUGACUUUCUCUAAAAUAUCUCUUAGUGUAUUUCCAUUGAGGAGUAUCUUUUAUCUUCUUCUGUGGGUGAACUUAGCCUAAUCUGUCUGGCCUGCCAGCUCCUUCCUAUUGUUGAUUUGAGGGCAGAUUCUUUUGGAGAAAAUUCAACUCUGCUUUCUGAACUUUUGCACUCACAGCAACAAUAAAAAAUGGUAAAUGUGAACUGCAGAUAAUCUAUACCUAAGUAAUCUAGAACCUCAAUUAAUAACACAUUGAAGCUUAUGGCACUCAGACUGUAGUUAACAGCAGUUCCAAGGUUAAGGGCACACUACUAACUUUGUUCAGUUUUCUCUCCACUGAAAUUGACCAUCAGAC
rnacentral:lncRNA from 1 species